AUUGUUACUUAAUCCACAGUUUCUGCUCUCUUAAUGACUUUCUUCCGUUCAUUUGCACAGUUAACUGUUCAGCAAUGGCUAUUAGUAAGCCAUGAAGGUGAAAAUAGGUAAUUUUAAGACUUUAGUUUAAGUGUGUUUCUUAAUUAAGGGAAGAGCAAUUGUUUGAACGAUUACAAACUGUUUCGAAUGCGUGAAGCAAUAAAAACUUAUGAGUAAGAAAUUAAUUUCAGUCAUUUGAAUUGCUAACGACAGAUGUACCUUGUGGUAAUGUAUAAUUCGAAAAGACUCGUACCAUCAAAGAGCUCGCCCUAUUGCAUUGCUGUUCCUGCCGAGAAAGUCACGGUGUUAAGUUUGGUUGCAAAUUCAUUUAUUCCCAUUACCGGGCAUAUUCAUCCACGGCAAAAUACAGCACCGUUCCGUUCCAUUCGCCUGUCAGUGUCGCGAAUUACGAAAUGAAAUUUGUCCUCUUAAUUUUGUCUCAUUUUGCUACGACGGCUUGAAUUUGUGGCUCAUUCAGUUGAACCGGAAGCAUCGAAAAGAAAUGGCCACAGCGAGGAAGCGUGAGCCGCAUGGACUGAAGCAAUUUACGUGGCAUGUUUGUCAGACACACCGAGCUGUCUGUUUGAAGCAUUUCUUUGGUCGGUACUGGCAGUGUAAGCGGGGUAUGAUUCGUCCUUUCAGAAUUGCACAAUUGACAUGCAUAAUCUAAUUAACGACUAAAUUAAACAAGCGAGAAAGUUUUGCUUGAAGGUA